rnacentral:rRNA from 1 species
CCUACGGGAGACAGCAGUGAGGAAUAUUGGUCAAUGGACGCAAGUCUGAACCAGCCAUGCCGCGUGAAGGAAGACGGCUCUAUGAGUUGUAAACUGCUUUUGUACGGGAGUAAACGCAGAUACGCGUAUCUUUCUGAACGUAUCCUACGAAUAAGGAUCGGCUAACUCCGUGCCAGCAGCCGCGGUAAUACGGAGGAUUCAAGCGUUAUCCGGAUUUAUUGGGUUUAAAGGGUGCGUAGACGGUCGGAUAAGUUAGAGGUGAAAGCCUGAGGCUCAACCUCGGAAUUGCUUUUGAUACUGUUCGGCUAGAGAGUAGGUGAGGUAGGCGGAAUGCAUGGUGUAGCGGUGAAAUGCUUAGAGAUCAGAAAGAACACCGAUUGCGAAGGCAGCUUACUAAGCUACAACUGACGUUGAGGCUCGAAAGCGUGGGGAGCAAACAGGAUUAGAUACCCGGGUAGUC